GGAGAAGCAAAGUGAUGAGCAUUACUGGCUGGAGCCCCGAAGAGGCACGUGUGUGUGCGUGUGCGCGCGCGUGUGUUUAUCUGUCCUGGUCUGUGCAUGCACACCUAUGUCUGGGAGUAUGAGUGUGUGUGACUGGUUGUAGGGAGCUAGUUACGUGCCUUCUGUUGGACCAUGACAGUCAAACUGAUAAGAUCUGAUUGCUUC